rnacentral:tRNA from 1 species
GAUUAAAUAGUCUAAAAAGGAUAUUAAAUUGCAAAUUUAAUGGUAAAAAAUAUUUUUAAUCU